rnacentral:sRNA from 1 species
AUGAUACAAUAGAGGGUUUUUUCCCGUCUAUUCAGACAGUACGUCGUCCCGAAGGAUGUAGGGGAUUAACCUCGAGAGAAUGGCCUCUCGAAGUUGUCGGUCCGUCAAGACCGCACCACCUUCCCCGAACGGCCCCCCUUCGGGCACCUCGCCGUGAUAAUACUCGUACCAUUGGCGCAGGUGCGGGCGCCCCAAGGAGUUGAGGUCGUUAAUCGACCUGAUGGGUUCCUACAUCCAUGGAGAUCGUUAGCCCAGACCGUAUUACAUGACGACAGCAGACUCGCCAAACCGUCAGGUGAAUCCCUUUGGUUCAUGACACUAGGUACUGGAACAAACUUGGCCUCUAAAAUACCGUAGGAGGAGAUGGCUAAUGCAUUAUGACGCUAUAUGUCAAUUGUCAGUAGCUGCCUGUCGCUAAUCCCUAGAUGGGAGGUACGUACUAGAGCCUCCUGUAUAUAAGGAGCCUUCUUGAUUUCCAUCUUUAAACCGGCGGUGGUAUCGUCCAACAUUGACUUCACUUCCUGCUUGAACUCCUUGAACAACACAAGCAUUUCUUCCUUCGUAAUGCCAGCCGGCGCUGGAGGACCAGGGGGGCCUGGGGGACCCUGUGGUCCUGCAGGUCCUACAGUUCCUCUCACACCUCGUUCGCCACGAGGUCCAACCUGGCCUGGAGGGCCGGGCUGGCCCUGGAUAAGGGUCUGGUGCAAGUGCUGCGCUGUGGACAUCGUCAGCAUAAAGUUUCAGGGAGUAUGAUACCGACACCCCGCUUACGAGUUAAGCUUUGCCCUGGGAUGGCACUGGGAUGGAAGAUAUCUUCGUUGAGAGACAAAAGGACGUCAUCAGGAACAGGUGUCUCGAUGUACCGAUUUCGAACGUGAGCUUGAAGAAUUGGGUGGGCGGCAAGUACGGGAUCUUGAUAGACUUGCGAAGGCAUAGCGAUGCGUACCAUUGUGGUUCUUCCUUUGCUGUAUAAUGAAAUAAUGUAGAA